AGCCAGACUCCUACGGGAGGCAGCAGUGGGGAAUAUUGCACAAUGGGGGAAACCCUGAUGCAGCGACGCCGCGUGAGUGAAGAAGUAAUUCGUUAUGUAAAGCUCUAUCAGCAGGGAAGAAAAUGACGGUACCUGAAGAAGAAGCCCCGGCUAACUACGUGCCAGCAGCCGCGGUAAUACGUAGGGGGCAAGCGUUAUCCGGAUUUACUGGGCGUAAAGGGAGCGUAGGCGGCCUGCCAAGUCUGAUGUGAAAUACCGGGGCUCAACCCCGGGGCUGCAUUGGAAACUGGCAGGCUGGAGUGCCGGAGAGGUAAGCGGAAUUCCUAGUGUAGCGGUGAAAUGCGUAGAUAUUAGGAGGAACACCAGUGGCGAAGGCGGCCUGCUGGACGAUGACUGACGUUGAGGCUCGAAAGCGUGGGGAGCAAACAGGAUUAGAUCCCCGCGUA
rnacentral:rRNA from 1 species